UGACAACUGAAAUGAACACACAAAAUAAGUUUUGAGCAGGAGCAUAUCAGAUGAGAAUUUCAGAAAUACUCUUCUGGCAGUACAGUGUGCGCUCAAUUUAAGACCAAGGGAUUGCUGAAUGCUCUCCUUCCUGUUUUGAGCCAAGAGCCAAGAUUCUAAAUUUCAUGAUAUUGAACUAUGACCAGGUGGAGCCUCAGAGCAGAGUGAAGAGAGGACAGGCAGCUGCAGAUCCGGCCCCAUUGUCUGCAGGUGAAACAUAGCUGAAGCUCACAGAAGAGAAAUGAUCUAAUUCUCUAAUUUCUUGCUUGGAUUGAGGAAUGGAAAGCUUUUAGGAAACAUAACAGUAUUACUCCCUCCAACCAACACAAAAAUCCAUGUGACUGUGAUAAUUUAAUUAAUAUACGAUAUGUGGAUAAAUUCUAACAACUUAUUUACAGGCUAUGAAAUUUUUAAUGUCUUUAACUGAAAUGUUUUAAAAUGCAGUUGAGACUGAAAUAUUUUCUGAAAUAUUCAAUUAUCUUUUAUUGUUUAUAAAAUGAAUGAUGGGAAAAUAAAUGUAAACCCAGAUAAUGCUUUUAUCUCUAUGAAAGCAUAAAUUCCUUAUUGUUAAGCAACUGCAAAAUCCUUUUAUGUGUUUAAUGAUGUGGCUAUUAUAAAACUAGAUUGAAUAAACUGCUCAUUGUUCUAUGUCUUCUCAUGAGGCAGUUUCAUUAGGAACAAUUAGGUCGAAGGGCCAGCCUGGUGGCGCAGAAGUUAAGUGUGCACAUUUCGCUUCAGCAGCCUGAGGUUCGCAGGUUCGGAUCCCUGUUGUGGACGUGGCACCUCUUGGCAAGCUAUGCUGUGGUAGGGCGUCCCACAUGUAAACUGGAGGAAGGUGGGCACGGAUGUGAGCUCAGGGCCAGUCUUCUUCAGCAAAAAGAGGAGGAUUGGCAGCAGAUGUUAGCUCAAGGCUAGUCUUCCUCAAAAAAAAGAGAACAGUUUGGUCACACUGUGUGAAGAUGUCAUCAGCUAUGUUGCUCAUUUAAAUUGUAAAACAUUUGAACAACGUAGUAUUUGGGAGAAUUGCAUCUAUAUUAGAAGCCUGAGUUUCCACUUUGGGAUUUUUAACGAAAAUAUUUUCAUUAUGUCUUAAUUUAACUUUGAAUCCUUAACUUUUUCUUUAUAGUAUUGUUUUUGUAUUGGGCUUAUUAUUAGACUUGAGUCCUGAAAAUUUGUGAGCUCCAAGUUCAAACCAGCCUCCAAGGUUAAGUGGAAAUCUUGUGUUUAUUUGUAAUAAAUAAAUCCCUCAGAGCUGUCUUUUCAGAACAUUAUCACUUCCUCAGUUUCCCUUCCUUACCCGUUCUUCUGCCAGUACUGUGAUGCUUACUUUUAACUCACCUGUGUCUUUAUAGUUAAAGGAUCUACUUAAAAUGCAUAGUUGGAUCUUCUUUUUUUUUCAUCCAAUGUAGCAAUUUUUGUCUUUUGAGAGUUUAGUCUAUUUACAUUUAAAUUAAUUACUGAGAUAAUUGGCUUAAUUCUAUUAUCUUGCUUUACGUUUUCUACUAGCCUCAUCUGUUCUUUAUUUGAUGUUCUUUAUUUCUCCUCUCCUGACUGCUUUGAGAUUAAGCAAAUACUUUUUAUUCUUGCAUUUUUUCUCCUCUGUUAACUUUUAGUUCUAUAGUUUUGUGCUUUUAGUGGUUAUCCUUGAAUAUACAUUUCAGUAAGCAUCCUUGACUUCUUGCACUGUACCUUAAGUAAAUACCUGUGC
ensembl:lncRNA